UAGGUCCAUCUGAUAGGAGGAUAAACUGAGAUAGAAAGUAUACCCUACCAUUGCAAUUUCGAGACCCUUCAGUAGUCAUAUUAGUAGCAGUUAUACACGUCAGAGUGGGAGCAUAGAGGGCUGGGCUGGGACUGGGUUUAAAAGCCCACCAGUGAGAGGAGCAUAAUAAGAAACAGGUGAACGCAAUCAGACGUUAAUGAAGAUAGUGAGAGAACAAUGGGGGGAAAUAAAAGCACCAAACGCCACAUGAGAACAUAUUCUUCAAAAUGUCUCACACGAAAUGAACAGAAAACACUGAGAGGGGGAACGCAAAAGUCACAGGAAUAAAGGAAGGGAAGACAUAAAACAAGGAGCUGCAACAGAAACCAGUCCUGGAUGAAUUCUGUAUCUCCAACACUGAAGGACUUGGGGUGCAGAACUCACGGAAACAACGCUUGAAGUUCUCAUCCAGGCACCUGUUUGUGUAGCCGAGAGCGAUGCAGAAAUGCCAGGUGAUAGUCUGGAAAGUGGAGUUGGGGAUGGUGAUCAGAGCUGAGAUGAUGA